CCCUGGUGUCCCCAUGGGGACAAGGGACACUCCAAUGUCCCCAAGGACCCACCCUGGUGUCCCCAGGGACCCAUCUUGGUGUCCCCAGGGGGACAAGGAUCACCCCAGUGUCCCCAAGGACCAACCCUGGUGUCCCCAUGGGGACAAGGGACACCCCAAUGUCCCCAGGGACCCACCCCAAUGUCCCCAAGGACCCACCCUGGUGUCCCCAGGGACUCACCUUGAUGUCCCCAAGGACCCACCCUCGUGUCCCCAAAGCUCAGCUGUGGUGUCCCCAUGGGGACAAGGGACACCCCGAUGUCCCCAGAAACCCACCCUGGUGUCCACAAGGACUCAUCCUGGUGUCCCCAAGGGGACAAGGGACACCCCAAUGUCCCCAAGGACCCACCCUGGCCACCCCAAGAACCCCUCUUAGUGUCCCCAUGGGGACAAGGGACACCUUGAUGUCCCCAGAAACCCACCCUGGUGUCCCCAAGGACCCACCCCGGUGUCCCCAGGGACCCAUCCCGGUGUCCCCAAGGGGACAAGAGACAGCGCUGAGUGACACCCAUGGGUUCCAAUGGCCCCAAAGAGGUCGAGGGCCACCAGGGGGGACAAGGGACGGCGUUGAUGGACACCCAACGUUGGGGGUCACCCCAUGGGAUGAGGGAGCAUUUAUGGGGACACGAAACGACGAGAACGUCCCAAAGAGAGGACAAAGGAGGACAAGGGACAGCCUUGGGUGACACCCAUGGGUUCCAAUGUCCCCAAAGAGGUCUGAGGGCCACCAGAAGGGACAAGGGACAGUGUUCAUGGACACCCAACGUUGAGGGCCACCCAAUGGGACAAGAGAUCAUUUAUGGGGACACGAAACAACGCCAGCGUCCUACCCCAAAGACAAUGGCCACCAUUGAUGGACACCCAACGUUGAGGGUCACCCAAUGGGUCAAGAAACCAUUUAUAGGGACACGAAACAACGCCAGCGUCCCAACCCAAGGACAAUGGCCACCAUUGAUGGACACCCAACGUUGAAGGUCACCCAAUGGCUCUAGGGCCCA
rnacentral:lncRNA from 1 species